AUCCAUUCAGUAGCAAUACUGAUGAAGAUCUAGUGGCGAACGGGUGCGUAACACGUGAGGAACUUGUCCCGGUCUCUGGGAUAACAGUUGGAAACGACUGCUAAUACCGGAUGACGUCGGAACUUCGCAUGGAGUACUGACGAAAGGGUUACUGGAUCGGGAGAGCCUCGCGGCCUAUCAGCUUGUUGGUGGGGUAACGGCCUACCAAGGCAUCGACGGGUAGCUGGUCUGAGAGGAUGAUCAGCCACACUGGGACUGAGACACGGCCCAGACUCCUACGGGAGGCAGCAGUGGGGAAUCUUGCACAAUGGGCGAAAGCCUGAUGCAGCAACGCCGCGUGCGGGAAGAAGGCCCUCGGGUUGUAAACCGCUUUCAGAAGGAACGAAACUGACGGUACUUUCAGAAGAAGGUGCGGCCAACUACGUGCCAGCAGCCGCGGUGACACGUAGGCACCAAGCGUUGUCCGGAUUUAUUGGGCGUAAAGAGCUCGUAGGCGGUUCAGUAAGUCGGGUGUGAAAACUUUGGGCUUAACCCAAAGCGUGCAUCCGAUACUGCUGUGACUUGAGUUCGGUAGGGGAGUGGGGAAUUCCUAGUGUAGCGGUGAAAUGCGCAGAUAUUAGGAGGAACACCGGUGGCGAAGGCGCCACUCUGGGCCGAAACUGACGCUGAGGAGCGAAAGCAUGGGUAGCAAACAGGAUUAGAUACCCUGGUAGUCCAUGCCGUAAACGUUGGGCACUAGGUGUGGGUUCCAACCAACGGAAUCCGCGCCGUCGCUAACGCAUUAAGUGCCCCGCCUGGGGAGUACGGCCGCAA
rnacentral:rRNA from 1 species